GACGAACGCUGGCGGCGUGCUUAACACAUGCAAGUCGAGCGGUAAGGCCCUUCGGGGUACGACGAGCGGCGAACGGGUGAGUAACACGUGGGUGACCUGCCCUUAGCUCUGGGAUAAGCCUGGGAAACUGGGUCUAAUACCGGAUAUGACCUCAUGACGCAUGUUGUGGGGUGGAAAGCCUUGUGCGGCUAGGGAUGGGCCCGCGGCCUAUCAGCUUGUUGGUGGGGUGAUGGCCACCAAGGCGACGACGGGUAGCCGGCCUGAGAGGGCGACCGGCCACACUGGGACUGAGACACGGCCCAGACUCCUACGGGAGGCAGCAGUGGGGAAUCUUGCGCAAUGGGCGAAAGCCUGACGCAGCGACGCCGCGUGAGGGAUGACGGCCU
rnacentral:rRNA from 1 species